rnacentral:rRNA from 1 species
UACGGAGGGUGCAAGCGUUAAUCGGAAUCACUGGGCGUAAAGCGCGCGUAGGUGGCUAUUUAAGUCAGAUGUGAAAGCCCUGGGCUCAACCUGGGAAUGGCAUUUGAUACUGGAUAGCUAGAGUAUGGUAGAGGUGAGUGGAAUUUCAGGUGUAGCGGUGAAAUGCGUAGAGAUUGGAAAGAACACCGAUGGCGAAGGCACUUUACUGGGCUAUUACUGACACUCAGAGACGAAAGCUAGGGUAGCAAAUGGG